UACGAAGGGGGCUAGCGUUGUUCGGAAUUACUGGGCGUAAAGGGCGCGUAGGUGGCCUGUUAAGUCGAACGUGAAAUCCCCGGGCUCAACCCGGGAACUGCGUCCGAGACUGGCAGGCUCGAAUCCGGGAGAGGGAUGUGGAAUUCCAGGUGUAGCGGUGAAAUGCGUAGAUAUCUGGAGGAACACCGGUGGCGAAGGCGGCAUCCUGGACCGGUAUUGACGCUGAGGCGCGAAAGCGUGGGGAGCAAACGGG
rnacentral:rRNA from 1 species